GGGGAACCGGUGCUGCAAAACAGGAAAAGGCAACGGACAGGUCGGAAAAAGAAAACAAAAGGAAAGAAGUGGGAGAAGGAGGAGGGAAGGAAGCAAAGCAAAUAUACUAAACCGAUCGAGAGGGCAACACGUAACGUCCGAUCCGAUACUUAACACGGGAGCCCAUCCUUCCAUCGACCCGCGCCUCCUUUUGCCACGGCCCGCGCGCACCGGUCACACAUGGCUGAGACCCCCCGUGCCCCGCCGCCACUGAGGCCUCCGCCGCCCGUUCCGCUGCCCGACACGCCGCCUCGGCCGGAUUCGUCGCCUUCCACGCCCGGCGAGGACUACCACACGCCGACGCCCUCGCUGGACGAGGCGCGCGAAGAAACGCCACCGUGGCCGCAAGAAACCAACGGCAACGGGAGAGCGGCCAGCAAGAGCCCGGCCCUCUCGCCCGUGCGCCUCCCCUCGCCGCACCGCCUGCUGCCGCCCAACUCCCCCACCGGCAACGGCGACGACGGUGCCUCCGCCGGGCAUGCGCCGGUGCCGGGCCGCCGCCCGCAGCUCCGCCUUGCGCCCGGCCUCGUCCGGACGCCGUCGGAAGGGUCCGUCGCCAAGUCUCCCUCGCCAUCGCCCUCUUCGUCGCUGACGCCGCCAUCGCCUCUAACCCUGGGUCCCACAAUCACAACCAACAACAAGAGCGCCCAGAGCACGCCGAAGCGCACGGAGGCAUGGAAGCCGCCGGCCACGGGGAUCGCGGUGCAGUUCGACCCUGUCGAGGAAGCCGUCACGUCGCCGCUGCAACUCGGCAAGCCCCGAAUCGACCGCCAUCGCGCCACUACGAUGGCGGCAGCAGAGAACGGAGGCGGGCCCAACACGGUGCCUCGCGACGUGGCGGCGGUGGCCGCGGUCGGGGAGAGGAGGCCACUGUCGGUGGCGCUGCGGCUGGCCACGGCGGUGCUCAGCUUGGCGUCCUUCGCGGUGAUGGCCAGCGCCCGGACGUCCGGCUGGGACGGCGAUCACUUCGAUCGCUACGAUCAGUACAGGUCAGUGAUCACCUGCUUACAGUACAUGAUUCUUUCCCCCCUGCAUUUAGUUCGGAUAUGUCCGGCCGGGUUUUGACGGUUAGAAUGACUUCUUUGCUCUUCUUUUUAAUUAACGAAGCAGUUACCUUGGAGUAAGUAUCUGGCCCCUUUAAUUUCUGGUUAAUUUGUUCGAUACAUCACCACGAUAAAACAGUAGCAUCCUACAUUCCUCUAUUCGAAUUCAGAAUUCACCUUGGAUUGUAUUUGUUGAUGAAAAAAAAACAGAACGUGCCAAUUACUCUUGGCAUCCCUGGUAUAGGUUCAGAACAACACCCAAAUAAGCGAGGCGGGGCAAUUGCUCAGCAAGCACUCCAGCACCACCGCAGUCCCUGAACCUGAAUUCAUGAUGGCCACUACUAGGCACCGGUGCGCCGGCCCAACUUUGGGCCGGUCGUACCAGCAGCGUCCGAUUAAACAACCCAUAGCCGUACGAUUCUCUCCUUUUCUUUCACCAGGCGUCUUCUUUCUUAAAAAAAAAAACUUCCAACGCGCUGCCAUGGAUGAGCGAUGCGCCCAGCCUGAAAGUACCGCCCCGGUGCGCUCGCCUGUAGCCGCCCUCCCCGCCGGUCGUCGUCGUCACCGCCGGCCGCAGUUGUUUCCGCCGGCCGCCGUCAUGGUGGAAGCAAAAAGAAAAGCUGGAUCCAGCUAAAACAGAACAUGGUGGAAGCAAAAUUUGAAGUUGUUUCCAGUAAAAAAUUAUGGUGGUAGCAAAAUAAUUUGCUGGAUCCAAACUUCUGAUGAUGCAUGUGCUAGCAGUCAGGGUGGCUGGCUGCAUCAUCUCUGCGUCUCCAGCUCGCCGGGUUCGAGUGCAAGCAGCAAAAAAUCUGGAAGCAACAAAAAUCUUCCAGCAAAAAACUUCACCCCAGGUCGAAGUCCGGUGGUCGGUUGAAGCAAAAUCAAAAAAUGCUUCUAGCAAAAACAAACUUAGGUGCCAACAAAAACGACAUGAGCAUUUGAGAGCUCUGCAACCGAUGAAGCAAAAAAUUAUCUUGGUUCCAGCAAAAAAAUACACCGGUUCCAGCAAAAACAAAAAAUUGGUUCAGCAAAAAAUGCAUCAGCAAAAAAUUGCCACCCUCUCUUGCAGCUCCCCCAGCAGCCGGUUGCAGCUCCGGCGUGCAUGAUUGCAGCUCCCGAUGUUCGAACGGCGUUGGAUACAACACUCCUUGCUGCUCGAUGUAGCUUCCCCGGCGAGGCACCGACCUUGUAGCACAUACACCAGCUGGUUGCAGCAGACAGGGGCACCAGUUCCAGCAAAAAACGAAGAUGUUCAUAAAAAACGAAUGAGGAUGUAGCAAAAAACAAAGGGGUUGUAGCAAAACAAAAUGGUGGAUCCAGCAAAAAAAAUAUCGGUUCCAGCAAAGCCCCUCGGUUCCAGCACAAACUCGCCGCUGUCGGGUGCAGCUUGGCCAUGGCGACCGAAGCACCUGGCUGCGACGGCUAUGGAGAGGGCGCGUGUCCAGCUGCCGACGGAGGCAGACAAGGCGACGAGCAUCACAGCCGUGGAGAGGUAGGAGCCGUACGAGCACCAUGGAAGGAGCUGCUCGCCGGGGGAUGGUCAUGCCAUGACUGAGGAGAUUGGGAUUGGGAAGAGAGACUUGAGGGGAACGAAUGGCUGUAGUGUGUUCUGAAGAGAUAAGAUGAAGAGGUAGGCGGUGGAAAACUAAAGCGAGCUACGCGGCGAAGCUUCGGCCGGCGCGCCGUCUUCAAACGUUUUCCAUUCAUGAUCGUGGCUUUUGCCAGCAGAGUUCUUGGCUUCCUCAUCUUCUUGGGAGGAAAAGUAACCUCCCAAUUGCAUGGCAUGUCAGGUACGCCCUGGCGGUGAACGUGAUCGUCUGCGCCUACUCAAUCGCGCAAUCGCUGGGUGAGAUCCGCCGUCUGGUCGCGGCGAGGUUUAUUUACAGGAGCAUGUCAAGCUACUACUUCAGCCUGUUCCUUGAUCAGGUCCUGGCGUAUCUCCUCAUGUCCGCGUCGUCGGCUGCCGCGUCGCGCAACGAUCUGUGGGUGUCGAGGUUCAGUCAGGACGCCUUCAACAGGAAGAUCACCAGCUCGGUGUGGCUGUCCUUCCUUGCCUUCAUAGCGCUCGCCGCAAGCUCGCUCAUCUCCACGGCUAAUCUCUUCAGCAUGGUCUAAUUAUGAUAGAUACGGUUCAUCCCUUUCCCUCUCCCUUUGGGGAUGUGGACUGUGGAGUAACUGCCGGCGUUCUUCAUGUAAAUUUUGCAUUUAUAUUGUCACAAAUCAUACGAUCGACUGAUACCGUACGUUGUUCUCGGUCCUGACCUCUGACUCGUCAGAAAAUCCCUUGUAAAGAGGUUCAUGUAGUGCUCGAAUUAAGUUUUUCAAU
rnacentral:rRNA from 1 species